rnacentral:lncRNA from 10 species
UUAAGGAGGUGAAGGGAAAAGAAAAUCCUGUUCUAUUCGCCUAUUAAAUAAAGGAAGAAAUGGGAGCCGGGAGAUUAGGGAACUGAUCAAGAAGUACUGCAGAAAGAAGACAUCCAUGCGGUCCUUUGCUGUCCUCUCUCCUACACUGCAGCGGUGGCCAUUUUUGCUUCGCUGGGCUCCACGGAUCUGGAGGAGCAACAGAUCUGCACAUCUGAAUGUGAGAGGGAAGUCUUGUGAAAGUGGAAAAAUGAAUGAGACAGACCUGACUGUGACAAACUUCUGCAAACCAGCCUCCAAAACCCUAGUAGCUGAUCUCAGCAAGGCUUUUUGUGUGUUAUUAUUCUAGUCUGUGUGCUUCUUGAGGAUAGGAGAAACUUCCAAGACCUCCAUGUCACUCACCAGAAGAUACUACUGAUGGUAAUAAUAAGACUGACAGUAGACGUUUUGUAAGUGCUACAACUAGUAAGUAUCAUUCACUGAGCAUGUACCAUAAGCCAAGCUAUACUGAAGAACUGAAGACUUCAUGUGUGUGCCUUAUCUUAUUUAAUCCUCGCAAUGACUCUAUAAGGUAG